rnacentral:lncRNA from 1 species
UUUUUCGUAAAUCGUCAAGCUCAUCCUGCUUCUCUGGAGCCGGUAAGGCUACCAGCUUCGGAGAGGGCUCCAAUUCUUCUCAUCGAAUCUAUUCAUCCCUAUGGUGUAAGUUAUGCUUGGGGAUGCUCUCAUUUCCGGCUCAAAUUGACAUUUCGUUCAUGAUGUGGGUCAUAAUAAUUGGGAUGAAUCCUCCUUUUUCUAUUGAUGUAUUGGAGACUGCUCAUAAGGUUCACUUUGUUGUGCCUCAGCUCUGCCAGUCGUGCACCCAUGAGAUCUCUGUAGUUGCUUAUACCAUCUAACUAAGAUGACCACUUAUUAUGGGUGGGCUCGUGGUCCAUGGCCACAGGUUUAUGACGAGAGUUGAGCUUUGUGUUAUGCUCACUAAAUUCGUGUCUACUAAGGCAGCUUUUUGUCAAACUCAUUUCUCACCUUCUUCAAAUUUAGUGUUCACAUAUCUUCAAGAGGAAGUAGUAAGGCCUCAAAGUGGUGAUGUUGCCACUCUCGAAAAGCCGGCUUUGAGGACGAGUGCGGUUGUGGAAGUUGAGUGCUAUUAAUCCUUUGUGGUUGUGUUAUCCUGUCUAGAGGUUUCAGACCAGUGUUCCAACUCAGACUUGAAGGAAGUCUUUAAGUGGGCCUCUAUGGAUGUUUCAGAGGAAUGGUCUUCUGUUUUAGGUGACAUGUUGGAUCAUGUUCUUGCUCGCUUUGUUGGUCGUGGACGUUCCACUUUGUCUUCGGUUUCUCUUUUUAUACUAGUAUUGGCUUGAUCCUUCUUUCAGUUGUGUUUUAGGUUUGUAUCAAUUAUUUCUUUCAUGUUCGUU